UACUAACGCUGGCGGCGUGCCUAAUACAUGCAAGUAGAACGCUGAAGGAGGAGCUUGCUUCUCUGGAUGAGUUGCGAACGGGUGAGUAACGCGUAGGUAACCUGCCUGGUAGCGGGGGAUAACUAUUGGAAACGAUAGCUAAUACCGCAUAAGAGUAGAUGUCGCAUGACAUUUGCUUAAAAGGUGCAAUUGCAUCACUACCAGAUGGACCUGCGUUGUAUUAGCUAGUUGGUGAGGUAACGGCUCACCAAGGCAACGAUACAUAGCCGACCUGAGAGGGUGAUCGGCCACACUGGGACUGAGACACGGCCCAGACUCCUACGGGAGGCAGCAGUAGGGAAUCUUCGGCAAUGGACGGAAGUCUGACCGAGCAACGCCGCGUGAGUGAAGAAGGUUUUCGGAUCGUAAAGCUCUGUUGUAAGAGAAGAACGAGUGUGAGAGUGGAAAGUUCACACUGUGACGGUAUCUUACCAGAAAGGGACGGCUAACUACGUG
rnacentral:rRNA from 1 species